rnacentral:misc_RNA from 1 species
ACAAACUUGGUCAUUUAGAGGAAGUAAAAGUCGUAACAAGGUUUCCGUAGGUGAACCUGCGGAAGGAUCAUUACCAAUCUUUAGUGGGCCUUGGCUUGUCCAUGGUCUCACGAAACUUUUAUUUAAACCCACUCAUAUAUAAUAAGAUAACCCUGUAUAUUUUAUGAUAUAAAUAAAGAUCACUUUCAACAACGGAUCUCUUGGCUCUCUUAGAGGAAGUAAAAGUCGUAACAAGGUUUCCGUAGGUGAACCUGCGGAAGGAUCAUUACCAAUCUUUAGUGGGCCUUGGCUUGUCCAUGGUCUCACGAAACUUUUAUUUAAACCCACUCAUAUAUAAUAAGAUAACCCUGUAUAUUUUAUGAUAUAAAUAAAGAUCACUUUCAACAACGGAUCUCUUGGCUCUCGCAUCGAUGAAGAACGCAGC